CCCCACCCACACACACAUUUUUUUUUCCUUUCAGACUUACCUUCAAGAGUUUCCCAGGACUUCUGGGUUCCCUGGAGCAUCUCUGCAACAAAAUGCUGCUGUAGCAAUGGUCAGAAGAAACCCUUUAGCCCUUUCCUAUGUACCACAGGUUCUUCCGUACGAGGAAGAUAGAUGAUAGUUGCUGACCACAGAGUUCACGGGAUCAUCGUGAGGAUCCAAUAACACAGUGCACGGAGAAGUGCUUUGAAAUGGAAUGAGUAUGCACUCAGGGCGUUAAUAAUAUCCAGUCGCUUUCCUAGAUACCAAACAACCCGGGCAUCCCAAAGGUAUCACGGUCUCCAGCUCGCGCUUCCUGACUGGCUAGGAAAAGGAAAAAGGCAAAGACAUGCAAGAAAACACACAUGGUUUCUGAAGUGAAGACCCCUGUACCAGGAGCCUGAAAGCCCACAGGAAGUUAAGGAAGAGACCCCACAAGUGGGAGGCUUUGAACUUAAACCUUGGAAGAGCUGAAUCCCCGAGGCCUCACCUUUGCUUCCUACCCCCACCCAAACCUGCUAAAGGCCCCAGACACUAAAAAUACCCUGGCCACCUGCUGCCCAGGGAGGCAGUAAAUCACAGGUCCUCGAGCACCAGAAUCCAGGCCAGGCCCGGCCUAACACGACCAAUGGCAGCUGACAAGGCCCCACAGGUAAGUGCACUUCUUCCCAGGCAGGCUGUUAUCAUUAGCUUGUCCACUGCUCAGUUGGGAGGACGGUGUCCCGAGGAAGUGGGGAUGAUGUUGAAGGGUUCUUGGGCCAGAGGUGCUAACUGGAUGUGCGGUGAUCGGGGAGAAGUGUGUCAUGGGGAGGGGCUCCCAGGGAAAGGGGAGCAGCUCCUGUGGUGAGUGGCAGCUGCUAUAUGACAUAAAAUAAACUCAUCUCCCCCAAAUCCACAGAUCACGGCCUCAACUGCUGUCCUAUUACUCUGGGGCCACCAGAUGUCACUGUUACAGGGAGCAUGAAUAUUUGUGGUCCGGUGCUGGGACAGGCACUGAAUUUACGAAGACAGUUUGAAGCGUGGGCGCUCAUGGAGACACCAGUGACACCCAUGUCUUGCUUCCAGUUCUUAAGCUCUCACUAGUGAGAUCACGUCCGCAGGUACCACUACCAGUCCAAUCCCCAAAAUGUAAUAAAAAAAUGCCAAAAAUUUGUUCGCUUUUACUGUCAGUACAGUACCAUGAAUCAGAAAUGAGAAGCCA